ACCGGAAGUGGUCAUCAGCAAGUGUGGAGCCAAACGACAAGAUUCUCAGAGGGCGGAGCCAGAGAGCAGUGAUUGGUCAGACCAAAGAAGACAGCACGCUAGCGUAUCUAGGCUUCUACACCAUCUAUGAUCCGCACGUCCGGUAGCAUCUCUGGCUGCUGUUGACCUUGUUUUUGGAGUAAAACACGGUGGAAGCUGAAUUAGUGAGGAUGACUCCUGCUCCUGUCAUCUCUAAACUCCUCACACAUCUUUACCUGGACAUGAGGAAAAUCACUCCUGUAGAAUGCAGUGGUUCAUCAGAACCUCUGGGGAUGUCCUGUGGAUUCUGUGGGUCCUGUGGGUUGCAGGGUGGGUCCUACCUAGACCAGGCUGAUCCUGGACCAUCCCACAGAUGCUCAAUCAGAUCUGGAUGUGGGGAGUGUGGAACCCAGAUGUUCAGAGGGAGAUGAUGCCACAUCUGGUCCAGCUGAUGGAAGGUCUUGAAGUUCUCUGACUGGCCUCGACUGAAGAUGGUCGUCUCACUGGAUUUAAGGUUCAGAUUCUCAGUAACAAACUCCACCAAUGAGCCAACAGGGAAGCUUUAGGUUUAUUAAAUGUUGCUAUGAAGGUUUCGCUGUUUUUCUUUGUGAAUGCAAUGUGCUCCAACUGAAACUUGAAUUAGAACUUAGAAGUAAAUCCUUCCAUCUGAAAAUAUUUAGUUGCAUUAAUAACCUCAUAACAUUCUAAUUUUUAUUCCAGUCUUGGUUGGAAAUAGAAUCUCUGCAUUGAUUCAGGUAAAAACUGAACUUCACAGCAUGUUGAAGCAAAACAACCAGAUGAAAACUGUGAUUCAAUUCAAUUCAAUUCAGUUCAAUUUUAUUUAUAUAGCGCCAAUUACAGUCAAAUUGUCUCGAGACGCUUUUCAGAACCCAUAUGCCUGACCCCCAGAGCAAGCCAAAAGGCAACAGUGGCAAGGAAAACACCCUUUUAACAGGGAAAAAAACCUCGAGCAGAACCCGGCUCUAAUGUGGGGGGACCCAUCUGCCUGCUGGCUGGGUGGGUUGAGAGGGACAGAAGAGGUAGAGAGGUAGAGAUAGAGGGAUAGAGGUAGAGAUAGAGGGAUAGAAGUAGAGGGGUAAAGGUAGAGGGGAAGGGGUAGAGGUAGAGAUAGAGAGGUGGGGGGGGGACACAAGGACCAUAAAACACACAGUAUAAUAGAUGCAUGAUAAGACAUGAUAUAUGCAAAGUACAACUAACAUGGAAACUAAUUAUAGUUUACUGCUAUGGUGUACAGCUCUGGCAUUAAAUAUACUACAUAUAUAGCUGGUGGUAAUUUCAAAAAUAUGUAGAUGAGCAAAUCAAGUACAGUAAGGGCAAUGCAGAGUAGAUCAGUGGAAAUGGGCAGCUGGAGGUGGGAGAACAACCACACAUCUGAAGCAUCCAGCUCUGGGACCAGGGACACUCGGAGAAAGGACACAGAAAGAAACAGAGUGAGUGUAAUGCAAUAAUACAUAGUAAAUACAUAGGUAGUUAGAGAAGGGCUCAGUGCAUCAAGAGAGGUUCCCCAGCAGCCUAGGCCUAUAGAAUUUAGUCUCAUAAUCACAGACAAUAAAUAUUAUCUGAAAGUUGGGUUAUUGUUGUUUAUCAGCACAAUACAAAAAGAUUAAUGUUAGAAAUAUUCCAGUUAAGACUCUAAAAUAUCAUGAUUUAUGUAAAUUUACCUCAAUAAUAUGAAUGUUCAGGUUAAGAUUGUACAGUGAUAUUUAUGAUGUAAGUUUAGCUGAUUAAAGUUUAUGACUCUGCACUACAAUAUUAUUAUUUAAAUUUACAUCAUUAUUAUAAUAUUUCGGGUCAGACUCUACAGUAUUGAGAUUAAGAAAUCAAAUAUUCUAUAAAAUGUAAAUACACUGAACUCAUUUGGAUAUAUUUAAGUGAGACUCUAUAAUAUUAUUUGACACAAAUCUAUCUAAAUCAAAAUUUUAAUGAUGUUUUACUCAAACAUUUACUGGACUGAUUUAAAUAUUAAAAUCACUCUUUUCUAAUCCUCUGCUGUACGUUCAAACCUGAGGCCUUAAAUAGAAACACACAAGUAUCUGUUUGAAGGAACUUCUGCAGAGUCCUGGUUCCAGAACAUGAUGAUAGAAUUAUAGACAAACUUUAACAAAAGCUGCCUGAGAGUUUACAGGUUUUUAUGUUGGAUUUCUUCAGUAAUUUAAUGAGCGUUAUCAGCAAAAAUCAAGUGUUCAUUUGAUGACCUUCAUUUCCUAAAACAUCCAGAAUUGGAGCUCAUAUCUUUGGCAGCUGUAAAGUUUCUGCUCCUUCAAAGUUCACAACACAAUGAAUGAAUUCCUAAAACACUCUCAAUGCUGGAGAGCGUUUGAUGCUGAAGCAGUGAUCAGUUUUUCAGUUUCUUGUCUGGAGAUGCACAAUGAGGGACGUCUGCAGAGACUGAGAAAGAGUCUCACCACAUCCUGACAUGAGGAAAAAGACUUUAUUGAAGACUACAAUGAGAAAAACUAUCAGACAGCAGACGGCUGCAUUCAAGUCUGUAGCUGCUGAAUUCAUGGAUGAAUCAUCUGGCACUAGAGAAGAAGACCAUCAAACAUCCACAUCAGCUGAUGGAGGUCCAAGAGUCUCACCAAACAAACAACCGACAGAAUGAAGACCUCAUUUCUGAUUGGACGGCCUCCUAUUCAGCCACAUGUGUGAACAAAUGCCUCUAAGUUGAUUUGUUUUCUAAAAUAAAUCUAGUUUGAGUCCUAAUCUAUGCCUGUGUGUUUGCUUCUUUACACCACUGUUGACAGUUUAGGCUGUUAGAUUGUUCCAGAUAAGACAAGUACAAGAUUCUUCAGAGCCGUUCUACCACGAGCCUGACAGGAAGAACUCCAACAGCUACUGAAUGUUCCUGUGGUCCCCUCAAGGCUACAGGAGGAGUCCUACGAGGACGAGCCGGUCCACCUGAUGGUGGCCAGUCGCUGCGGUUCAAAGCCAACACCGACUACGUGGACUUCUACUGGACCACACGGAGGCCUUCAAACCGGACCAACAAGUUCACCGACUCCCCGACUCGUGGGUCUGAGGAUGCCGCCGAGCCUCGGCCCAGCCGGCCUCCUGUCUGUGGGUGUUUGAGUGCUGAGAGGUUUGUGGAUGCAUGUGAACGUGUCUGUGUUGAAACAGCAGCUUUGGACUCAGUAAUGCCGGGAAAAACCAAGAGCUCCUUUAUUUGUGACUUCCACUAAAAAAAACUGCUGAAAAUGAGUUUGCCAGGGUUCUGACUGAUAAGAGAUUAUUAAAUAAUGAAAAUAAUUGUUUAAAUAUUCCUUUAAACAAUCCUUUUAGGUCUACAUUUCCUUUACACUGAUUUCUUGGCAGAUGUACAAGUAUUUUGGGUGGAAUAUACCAUUAAGCCUGAUGUUCAAGGGUUCUUCUGGGAAUAUACCAUUAAACCAACCUUUUAGGUAAAUGUUCCAGGGUGUUGGGUAGAAUAUACCAUCAGAUCAACCUUUUAGGUCUACACUGGAAGAUUUUAGAGUAGAAUAUUACUCCAAACCAUCCUUUAGGCCUAUAUUUAAGGUGGAAUACUCCUUUACGUCAAGAUUUUUUGGUCGACAUUGAAGGAUUUUAGGUGGAAUAUUCCUUUGAAUGAACUUUUUAAGUUUAUGUUAAAGGAUGUUGGGUGGAAUAUACCAUCAGACCAACCUCCAAGGUGUACAGUAGUGAAUUUUAGGUGGAAUAUACCAUUAAACUCACCUUUUAGGUCGACAUUGGAGGAUUUUAGGUGGAAUUUUCUUCCAAACCGUCUUUUAGUCUACAUUUAAGGAUGUUUAGGAUGGUAUAUUCUUCCAAACCAACUUCUCAGGUCUACAUUUCAGGUGGAAUAUUCCUCCAUACUAACUUUUUUGGUCUACAUUGAAGGAUUUUUUCUAAACCACCCUUUGGGGUCUAUAUUUGAGGUUUUAGGUGGAAUAUUCCUUUUAACCAGCCCCUCAGGUCUCUUUGAGGAUUUUGGAUGGAAUACUCGGUUAAACCAACAUUUUAGGUGCAUGUCCGAGGAUUUUUGGUGGAAUGUUCCUUUAAGGUGGAUGUUUGAGGACCUUGUAGGUUGAAUACUUCCUGAAACCAACCUUUUAGGUCAACAUUCAAAGAUUUAAGGUGGAAUAUUCCUUUAAACCAACCUAAAUUUCAUGUUUUAAUCAUUAUCAAGUGAGAAACCUCAAUCCAGACUCCUCAUAAUGACAUUUGAGAUUUAUGCUGCUGUUAUUUGUUUCGUCCAGACUAAAUGACAGAAAUCCACAACUGUAAUUUUAUUUCAGGACUCGGUUAUUAAAUGUCAAAACAAUCCAUGUGACUCUAAAAACUCAACAGCUUUACAAACUCUAAGAUCAAACUCUCCACAAGGAUCCAGAAUAAGUUGGACUUAUACAUGAGAGCUUUAAUUAUUCUUCAUCUACUUCCUGAAAAGUUUGGUCAAUAAAAAAGACAAAAACUAAUAUUUUCAGCUGAACUAAAGACAGACUUUGUGAUUUUUCUGCUCACAUGUUGUGUUGUAAACUUCCUCUUUCAAAUAAAUAGCUGCCUAACCCCCUGGAAACCAGCAUUUGUCCUGUUUUUGUGUUGCUCCUCGGCGACCCUAGACAGCGGGGUCGUAAUGUUUUUUGAGCAACACACCAUACUAUGACGUUUUUACAAUGAUGGUUCUACUAUGGAACCAGUUUGACAUGUUCAGGUGUUCUUUGUGUGAAAACUCAGAGAUUUCAGGUAUCAGAAGGUGGUUUU